rnacentral:rRNA from 1 species
CGGUAAUUCCAGCUCCAAUAGCGUAUAUUAAAGUUGUUGCAGUUAAAAAGCUCGUAGUUGAAUUUCGGGGUUAGUAGGUUGGUCAUGCCUCUGGUAUGUACUGGUCUCACUGAUUCCUCCUUCCUGAUGAACCGUAAUGCCAUUAAUUUGGUGUUGCGGGGAAUUUGGACUGUUACUUUGAAAAAAUUAGAGUGUUUAAAGCAAGCUAACGCUUGAAUACAUUAGCAUGGAAUAAUGAAAUAGGACGUUCGAUCCUAUUUUGUUGGUUUCUAGGAUUGACGUAAUGAUUAAUAGGGAUAGUUGGGGGCAUUAGUAUUCAAUUGUCAGAGGUGAAAUUCUUGGAUUUAUUGAAGACUAACUACUGCGAAAGCAUUUGCCAAGGAUGUUUUCAUUAAUCAAGAACGAAAGUUAGGGGAUCGAAGACGAUCAGAUACCGUACGUAGUCUUAACCAUAAA